UAAACAGCCACCAACAUCUGACGGUGGAUACAGUGGAGAGGGAGGGAGGGACGGAGGGCGAUAGGGGAGGUACACUUCCAUCAGUGUGAGCACAGAGCAAGUUGGGAGCAGCAAAUAGCUACCCUGGAGCAGCUGGCUCUCAUCUUACAUAUUGAUUGAUAUUGAUAUGAUUUAGCAACAUGGUGGCAUGAGCAGCCUGGAAACUGAUACACCAAACAACCCUCAACAUCUUUUUCAACUAUGUACAUAAGACAGUAUAUUUGAACAUAAUAUGCACAUCCAGAAGGAAGCCUGAGGAUGAACAUAUCUUCUUCAUAUCGUUCUCUGACUGACAAAUAAAGGCACCCUGCCAAGAGAAACUCAAUGAGACCACAAUCAAUACACUGCUACAAGUCUCAGGAUGCAGAGCAGUGACAGGGCCAGAAGGUAAUGAUACAGCUGCCAUGAUGCAACAAGCAGACCUGUCGACUGUCAGGAAUUGAAAUCAUGAAGGAAUAAGCUGUCAUUAAGAGGCCCUCUCCCAGUAGUGGAGCUGUCAGACGCCUGCCUUCUGCCUACUCUCUCUCUCUCUAUACUCCCGUCUCUCCUCUGCCAGUCCCACCCCAUUUGCAGUCACUCCCUCGCCCUCCUCUCAUUUCUCUCUUCAAUCCUCUCUGUACCCCUCUCCUUCUUUCCUCUUCUGUCCUCUUCCAACCAAUCAUAACCCUUCUCCCUCUGCACCCCUUCCCCAACUCCCCCACUCUCCAUCUCAGAUUCCUCUUUUCCACCUCUUUCCCCCACUCUCUGGUUGUUGCUGGAGCAUCCUCCUCUCACCUGUCAUUUUACCGCUAGGCUAUGGGAAUAGCACCAUCCAUGUGCACACACACACAUGCACAUAAAGACAACAUGCAUGAGAUCUGCACACACAACACACAGAGAUUUCUCUUAACCCAGUGGCACUGUACACACUGCGCCAAAUGCCAUACCCUCUGCCCAAUGAGAUGCAUUUGUGUCUGUGUAUGUAUGUUCUCUCUGUGUGCACAUGUCUGUGUGUACAUAUUUUAGACUUAUCUUUAACAUACACGUUUUCCCAGCUUAUUAAUGUGUCAUCAUAAUAUAGCAGAAUGACAAAGAUUGUGGUAUAUCCAAAGACAGGAGCACAGUGGAUAUGGGAGGCAGAGACGGGCGAUGGGGUGUAAAUGGUGUGUAAGAGACAGGCUGCCCCGAGAUUAACCCUGUGAUUUUGUGUGUGUGUGUGUGUGUGUGCAUGUGUGUUGUGUGAAGGGCCUGAUUAACUAGCGCAAUCAGCUAUUUUUUCCCAUCGGAAGAGAGAAACAGCUGACUCAAAGUUCCGAAGAACAUGGUUGAGAAUUUCAGAUGGUGAUGCCUUGACACUAUGUGCAUGUCCCAUUCAUACCAUAGAAUUGUACUGCAUCCACACACACACUAUGAGUCAAAUUAACUUGUGUGUGUGUGUGUGUGUGUGUGUGUGUGUGUGUGUGUGUGUGUGUGUGUUUUCAUGCUUGCUCAUGUGUUUUGCGAAGCCACAAGCUCCCCCCAUAUUUUCCGAACGCACUCCAUUUGACCCUUUGCUGCAGGCUUUGAAUUUCCAAUCAACUUCCCAUGAGUAACUUCACAUGAGCUGCACUUGAGGCAAGAGAUUCUUGCCACAAAACAUUUUUGGAAAACGGAGCCUUAUCUAAACAUAAUAGAAUGUAUGGUCAAAAUGUCAACAUUUCACCCAAAACUGCACUUAACAAAAUUUGUAAAUCAAAAAUAAUGAGGAAUUGUCAUGGUGCCAGAGCUGUCAAAUGCCUAAUAUAAUAUAGCCGAAAUAACUGCCUAUACAAAUAUGGAUAUGUUAGUGGUAAUUAUGGAAUACAUGUUGGCUUACCAUUGUGAUUGUAUUAUUGUGCUCACUAGUCAUGCGGUGUACUUUUCAAGCAUACUGCAAUCCACUGAAAAUACCACACUGAAUAACCAUAAUGGGUACUGUCGAUGAGUAUGUAGUGUGACAAAAGUUACACUAAUUGUCCCGGCGGGUUAACUGCUCCUCAUCCUUUCCUUGAAGUUCCUUGAAGGGAAACUAAUCAUCAAAAUGAGCUGAUGGCUUGUUGGGUUGAGAGGCCACAUGGGACCGGCCAAAGCUUUUGCGCUGGCACUGUAAUAACAACUAUUCCUUCAGGUGGUCUCAUUCACAAACUUACAUGGUCACGGGAUUUUGCUCUUAAUAUGGCGUAAUGCUGCUGAUUGUGGAUUUUGCUCUCCGUAUUUGCUGUGUCACAGGCCUACUGUGUCAGAGAGCUGUCAUUCAUUUGUGAGUUAUUGAUUGACAUGUUUUAUCACUUGUUUGCUGUAUGCAUGUAAAUUAAGAUAUAAAAUGUAUAUUUAUUACCAAAAAAAU